UCAUCAUUUACAGGCAGCGUCAAUUGGCCCUCAAUAUAGUUAUUUUUGAAGCAAUGCGGCCCGCGAGGUGAAAAGUUUGGAGGCCCCUGCGUUAGAGGAAACACCAUCGAUUUGUACGUAGUAGCUGCGUUCAGAGAUGUAGGACCUGAACCAAUUCACUAGCGGAGUAGAAUGGUUCACACGAUCAAACGUAGCCUUAAGGUCAGUGUAUAUUGCAUCCAUCUGCCAGCGCCUACCCAACCAGCAAAACCGAAGCUAUUGGAAAACUUUCCUGUGUGCCAAAGCGAGAAAGCAUGUCUUCUUUCUCUAGAUUUUGGACGGCACAACGCCGAUCGUGUGGCCUAUGAACGAAAAACGGGAGAAGGGGAAACCGAUAUCCUUCGAGUGACACACACGCAUGCAUCUGCAUGCGUAUUCCGCUGAACCGAGACUACACAUCUCUCUCGAUCUCCCAUGAUUUUUCUGCUAUCGCGCUCAUCCGGGUGUUAGGCAUCCUCAGUCUGUCCAGAACUUUCACUGUGGAAGGAUGUGUUGGAGUGAUGUGUGAUUUCUUAUGCCCCGUACUUUGCUCGUUUACGUUUUGUGCUGUGUUCCUUCUUCUUCAAUUAUGGAAUGAUUUAUCCUUGUAAAUUUUUAAGUUACAGGUGCACGCGCAUGUUAAUCGACGGUUGCCAACAUCCCGCAAAACGAUCGACGGAAGGAAAACGGUGUCCGGUUUUAAAAUAUCAAGAUUUCAUCACAGCUCUUUCGUAGAAGAGCGCACUUCAAGGACGCCAGGAUACGGCUAAACAUGCGCAGCACCAGUCCGUGACGUCAUUUCCAGACAGGCGCCGGCUGAACACGCGCAGCACCAGUCGAGGAUAUCCUAGCGCAGAGGGUAGAAGGAAGAACGAGAGGAAGGGUAACGGAACCGCUACAAUUGUAGGGGGUGAAGCAUCCUGCCGUGUACAGAGUGUGAGUCUGCCAAAACGCAUGUGGAAAGAGGAAGUCCAAUGCGAAAGUGGCAAGGCAUGUGAAAGUGUACAUAGAGCAAAAAUAAAAAGUGUCACUACUACAA